rnacentral:tRNA from 1 species
CGGGCGGGCGGCCGGGGGAUACGGGCGCGCUCCGCUCCUGCCGGGGCGGGCUGUCGUACCUGUCGGUGUCGGCCCGG